rnacentral:rRNA from 1 species
CAGCCGCCACGGUAAUACGAAGGGUGCAAGCGUUAAUCGGAAUUACUGGGCGUAAAGCGUGCGUAGGCGGUUCGUUAAGUCUGUUGUGAAAGCCCCGGGCUCAACCUGGGAAUUGCAGUGGAUACUGGGUCACUAGAGUGUGGUAGAGGAUAGUGGAAUUUCCGGUGUAGCAGUGAAAUGCGUAGAGAUCGGAAGGAACAUCUGUGGCGAAGGCGACUAUCUGGGCCAACACUGACACUGAGGCACGAAAGCGUGGGGAGCAAACAGGAUUAGAUACCCGGUAGUCCCUGUCUCUUAUACA